rnacentral:tRNA from 1 species
GUUUUAAUAGUUUAAUCAAAACGUUGGUCUUGUAUACCAAAAAUAAGUCUUAACUUUUAAAACU